UACGGAGGGGGCAAGCGUUGUUCGGAAUUACUGGGCGUAAAGGGCGCGCAGGCGGCUGCUCAAGUCAGGCGUGAAAGGCCUGGGCUCAACCCGGGAAUUGCGCUUGAGACUGGGCUGGCUUGAGUGCGGGAGAGGAUGGUGGAAUUCCCAGUGUAGAGGUGAAAUUCGUAGAUAUCGGGAAGAACACCCGUGGCGAAGGCGGCUCUCUGGGACGGUACUGACGCUGAGACGCGAAAGCGUGGGGAGCGAACAGG
rnacentral:rRNA from 1 species